CUUCGAGCAGUAAAGAUGCGUUAGACUUAUACAACCACAUAUUCUUGUGAAAUGUUAAACAAGCUAGUGUGCAUAUAUGAAGCUUUAUCCACUGUCGACAUGCUACAUAGUCGAUAAGCUUCACCUCUGCCAAGCGCGAAACAACCUACACCAAGUCUUAAAGUGUUGUGAUAUUUGUUACGCAACCUACGAAAUUGGAGAAAGCCAAGGUUAAUAGUCUAGUGGUUACGGGGACUUGUCUGCUUCUGUAAGUAAGGCAUCUGGCUACCAACCUUAUGGCUA
rnacentral:lncRNA from 1 species